rnacentral:lncRNA from 1 species
AAAUGUUGAUGGAAAAUGAUAAAACUUGCAAUGCCCAUAACGAAACUUACCCAUUUUGUUGUUGGGGUAAACCACGGACAAUAUUAACAUGCAGUUCCCCAGAUUUGUCACCAAUACUAUCACUAGUUUCCUUCCAUAGCCCGACAAAUUUUAAAAGGUGUGUAAGAGUCUUCACAAGCGAUAAAACCCCUUCGCGAACCUUGUUGUCCUUGUAUGAUUUGUUGCUUGAAUUAUAUAUGUAAAGAACAUGGUUAGUAAUAUCAAGCUGCCCUAACAUCCAAUGAGCAUGAUUUGUGGGCAUAAUGGGCAUCAACACAGAUUCAACUUCUCUCCAAGCAGUAUUAAAUGAUAACCGUUCACCAUUGAUGGUUUUGAUUAGCUCAUCCUUCUUCUCAACAAUGCUUGGGUCUUGAAUAAACUUGGAGUAUGUCGACUUGAUUGACAUAUCAAAUAUGCAGUCUGUAGUGGUAGCUUUCAUCUUCACACCUUCACCGAACUUGGCAAGUUGUCUUAUGUAAUGAAAGCAUGCAUCCAAGUGCUGUAAUAAGAAAGAAUAUACAUAAGUAAUACAAAACUACUAUGCAUAUGUGGAAAAUGGUGAAAAAAUUGUACCGUGCUGUUCAAUGAUGAAUUAGAAUCGAUCAAUGCAUGCCACCAAGUUUUAUAAUGAACAGCGACAGUGCCACAUACAAAUUGAGGAC